GGGAGGCUAUGGAAAGUCUCUCACAAGGAUGUUCCGGAUGCUUCUUCUAUUGAGAGUGCUGAUUUUUUGCAAGAUCCCUUCGUGCCCAAUGACUUUGCGGAAGAUGGUGCUAAUGUUAUGUCUUUGGUAGGUAUUUAUGUCUUUAUUCCUUAGCUUUAUUUUCUCCUUUAUUCUCCUCUUUUCAGUUUUUAAAUUUUUUGUGUUGUUUUAUUAUCUUUUCGGGAGGCUACGAGUGAUGAUGGAGGACUUGACAAAGCUCUAUUCCAGUUCUAUACGAACCAUGAAGUAAAACACCUGAAGAGGAAGUUAUCCUGUGCUGGGAGAAGGAAUGUGAGGCAGAAACGAUCUUCUGAUUUCCCCGUUGUUCAACCUUCACUAGAUAUUCUGGGAAAUUCUUCUCAGGUGUUGUUGAUGGUUUGUGUCCUAGGUAUAAGGGUGUCAUUGAGAAUUGCGGCAUGCAUUGUCUUCUUAGGUUUGUGAGUACUGAGGUCCCACUUAGGCUUGUUAAGUGGCUUG